GAGUGAGGUUACGCGCCAAGCUGGCUCACACGGACGCUGUGGAACGUGAGGAAAAACUGAAUCACAAUUCAUGAUUGAAUCUCGUCCCUUCUAAUUUGGUGUAUCGAGAGGACAACAGUUGCUAAGUGGUGACACCAGCAACAAGGCAAUUGUCCUAAUGAAAAUGUAUGAACAGGAGGGCACUUGAGGAGCCAUUACUGGCUUCCGCAGACGACAAACGUUCAUGAGAGAGCCUUGGGGAGGGACUGUUGUUGGCCUUCCCCUUGCGACACCUUCCAGACCUCUCGUGCAUAGGGUUAUUUUUUUUUUCCACAUCCUCUGAUAAGCAAGAUUUUAAAAGAAUAAUCCUGUUUGAUGUUCUGACAAUAAAAAUCACGGUGAAUCCCAGGUGAAACAUCUCGUGUGGACAAACGGAAAGCUAGCACGAAUCAUAAUUCUCAUUUAAAAAACGUGCACAACAGAGGUGGGAGACAAAGCCAUUGUUUUUCUUCUUUAAAAGACAGAAUACACUGCUGAAAAAUUACCCUUUUUGAUGCAAGCAACUGUGACAUAAUAAAGGAAAAGUUGUUUUUAAUAUCCAACAACGUUAUAUCAUAGAACAUCUAUAUAACAAAUAUGGAGGGUCUAUUCAAUGCAACUAAAAUAGUUUAAUGUGAGUUUCUCACGUAUACUCGGUCAGAAUUUCCAAUAUUGUCAGUUUUAGUAUUUAGUAAAGGAACUUAUUGCUGUCUUGCUGCUAACUCUAUAGACUAAUUCAUAAGUUUACAGGGUUAUUUUAACACAUUCUAACGUUGUUCUUUUAUCAUUUGAAUCUUCCUGUUUAUUAAUUAUUGCCAACAGAAGUACGUGAGUAUAUUUCCCACAACUAAAAAGCACAUACAGUGUACGUAUCUAUAUUUAUUUUAGUUUGUUCUCAGAUGUCCUUUACAUACCUGCAUAAAAUACAUACAGUGUUUAUGUAUGCCUAAUGAGAGGUGAAACAUGUUGAUGUGUUAUUAAAUUUGAAAUUAGAGUUUGUAAUAUCAGAAUAGAAAUGACACAUUAUAGGUGUGUGUCACAAUUUUGUAAGAUAUCCAAGAUGUAAGUGCCAUAUAGGAUGAAUGAAAGUGAGGGGAAGGUAGUAGAUUUGUAAUAAAUUAUUGCUACAGCCAUACUAUUUUAUAGUACUUUUUAUAAACUUUUGAUGAAAAUGCGUUAAAAUAAACCUGCUAUAUUUUA